GACGAACGCUGGCGGCGUGCUUAACACAUGCAAGUCGAACGGAAAGGCCCUGCUUUUGUGGGGUGCUCGAGUGGCGAACGGGUGAGUAACACGUGAGUAACCUGCCCUUGACUUUGGGAUAACUUCAGGAAACUGGGGCUAAUACCGGAUAGGAGCUCCUGCUGCAUGGUGGGGGUUGGAAAGUUUCGGCGGUAGGGGAUGGACUCGCGGCUUAUCAGCUUGUUGGUGGGGUAGUGGCUUACCAAGGCUUUGACGGGUAGCCGGCCUGAGAGGGUGACCGGCGACAUGGCGACUGCGGUACGGCCCAGACUCCUACGGGAGGCAGCGGUGGGGAAUAUUACACAACGGGCGGAAGCCUGAUGCGGCGACGCCGCGUGCGUGAUGACGGCUUUCGGGUUAUGAACAGCUGUCGCCUGUGACGAAGCGUGAGUGACGGUAAUGGGUAAAGAAGCACCGGCUAACUACGUG
rnacentral:rRNA from 1 species